rnacentral:ncRNA from 1 species
GGGUGUCCUACGGGACCUAACAGGGAAGUCGGGUGAGAAUCCCGCGCAGUCCCGCUGCCGUGAGAGGGGAGCGUCCGCGCAAUCGGGCCACUGGAUCUGAGAAAGGGGAUCUGGGAAGGCGUGCGGAAGGCCAUGAGCCUCGAGCCGGAAGACCUGCCCUGGCGC